CCUCGUACUUCGGGAUAAGCCUGGGAAACUGGGUCUAAUACUGGAUAGGACCAUGCUUUAGUGUGUGUGGUGGAAAGUUUUUUCGGUACGAGAUGAGCCCGCGGCCUAUCAGCUUGUUGGUGGGGUAAUGGCCUACCAAGGCGUCGACGGGUAGCCGGCCUGAGAGGGUGGACGGCCACAUUGGGACUGAGAUACGGCCCAGACUCCUACGGGAGGCAGCAGUGGGGAAUAUUGCACAAUGGGCGCAAGCCUGAUGCAGCGACGCCGCGUGGGGGAUGACGGCCUUCGGGUUGUAAACCUCUUUCGCUAGGGACGAAGCUUUUGUGACGGUACCUAGAUAAGAAGCACCGGCUAACUACGUGCCAGCAGCCGCGGUAAUACGUAGGGUGCGAGCGUUGUCCGGAAUUACUGGGCGUAAAGAGCUCGUAGGUGGUUUGUCGCGUCGUCUGUGAAAUUCCGGGGCUUAACUUCGGGCGUGCAGGCGAUACGGGCAUAACUUGAGUGCUGUAGGGGAGACUGGAAUUCCUGGUGUAGCGGUGGAAUGCGCAGAUAUCAGGAGGAACACCGAUGGCGAAGGCAGGUCUCUGGGCAGUAACUGACGCUGAGGAGCGAAAGCAUGGGGAGCGAACAGGAUUAGAUACCCUGGUAGUCCAUGCCGUAAACGGUGGGCGCUAGGUGUGAGGGUCUUCCACGACUUUCGUGCCGUAGCUAACGCAUUAAGCGCCCCGCCUGGGGAGUACGGCCGCAAGGCUAAAACUCAAAGGAAUUGACGGGGGCCCGCACAAGCGGCGGAGCAUGUGGAUUAAUUCGAUGCAACGCGAAGAACCUUACCUGGGCUUGACAU
rnacentral:rRNA from 1 species